AUUCUCCUUAUCCCAAGACAGUUGCAGAUCCCACCUCCCCUGAGCACAAACCAACUCUUCGAGAAAGACAAAGCAAUUCCCAACAUAGGAUGGAUAGAAUUGCACCAAUGCGACCUGAUGAGGUCUCCAAAGGGAAGGAACAUGUCAAUGCAGGUUCAUACGUGGAAAAAUUAAUCGUCAGAAAAGAACUCAUCAUGGAUGUGCUCUCCCUCUAUUUGGAUAGAUCAAUCUAUCCAAAGUUCAGAGGUGCUCCACUCUUCGCACAACGUUGGGAGCAUCUUGCAGACCAAUGUAAAGUAGACGUUAAAGUAAAAAAGCAGUGUGGGAGCUUUGCUCAUCUGAGCCCAAGUGAAGCUAUGUUUGAAUACUUGUGCCAAUCUGGGAAGUCAGUUACAGUUGGAAUCCUGAAACAAUACCUCCUGGAAAUUUCAAGAAAAGAUGUUCACGAUGAGCUGGCAAACAAUCAGGAUUUGCUUGAUGAUGCCAAUGUGAAUGACCUUUGCGAUAAACAUCCUGAAACACUGUGGAAUGUUUGUUUAAACCUCGAUGACAUGCGUUCUGUCAGUCACUGGUAUCACUUAGGUCUGAAGAUAGGUAUCAAUGGUGAAAGACUCAAAAGCUUUAAGGAUCCCUCUGAAUUUAGCCCUAGCCAGGCAAUCUUAGAAAAGAUCGAGACACUGAGGCCACAGCUUCCAUUAACAGAAAUGCAAAUGGUUCUGAAAGAAUUGGAAAAGUGGAUACCAGGCAUAGGCAAUGUGCUGAAUGAUUUACUAGAUCCAAGUAGUACCAUUAAGACCUUACUGGAUGAGCUAGAUGUUGUGGGAAAAUUGACAGCUCUUUUAGACAUUGAGGAAAGAGCUUGGAUGCAGUUUGGUUGCAAGCUGGGGAUGAAUAGACUAGAGUUAAACAGUCUAAGGGAAGAAGGCCCACCAAGCCCUACAAAACUAUUGAUGAAACACAUUGUUGCUAGGGAACCAGACCUUACCAUGAAGUUUUUCCUGGGAGCCCUGGCAAACAUCAAACGCUUUGAUGUCAUAAACGAGCUCAAACAAUUCUUUGUUGAAAAUGAUAUAGACAACAUAUUGAGGGAAGGAAACCACUUACAACAAGAUAACAUCUCCCUACUCUAAGUGCUUUUAUUUAAAUCAACACAGAAAGAUAGUACCUUCAAAAAAAAUACAAUCUAAGCCUACUGCUAAAUGGUACACAGAUUGACGACUUGUUGUAUCAACAUAAUUCAUUAACAGGAAACCCAUCACAAAUAGAAAAACUUCACAUUUUUGUAUUUACUAAGAAGACUCUGUUUAAGUACAGGAAAGAUAGUGGUGGGUUAACAUUAGUCCACAAUGAUAAAAAAGAAAAAAAAAGCAUGGAAAUAGUACAUAAACAGGAGAGUGGGACAUCAAAGGUAACGGUAGAUGGAAGACUAAAAAGAGGGUUCCCUAGACCUUUUUUUAAAACUUAGUCACAUUAAAAUACUUGGCCUUAUCACUCAAAAAUAACAUCCAAAACUAUUUCACAUUCACAUGAAAUUCAAGACAGUGUGUUUCAAAUUCACAAAUCAAUACUUUACUCUAUCUGACCUGUUUACAAAGCUGUUAAUCUUCCAAGUUUGACUCUGCAAAAUCACAUCACGCUUAACUAAAUGGUUUACAAAUCACUUCCAAUUCAGCUCUUCAUUCAUGGUUUGUUUAAAUAAAAUUUUUUUCACAUAAACAUGAAAAGAUUUUAGAAUCUUAAAUCACAAUUCACAAAUCAAAAAAAUUUAAAUCAUGAUUCACCAAGAAAAAAGAGCACCUGAUCACACUUCAUGUAAAAAGUCUAGGGGAACCUCUAAGAAACAAUUUUUGAGGACAAAUUUUAGUAUAAGUAUUUGUAUACUAUAGUUGAUCAGUGAUAACGUUGUGGUUAAGACUUUUUCAGGAUUUUACUUUUUGCCAAUUAUAAGAUAGCUUCGAUUAGAAUAAAAUUUAAAAAAAGGAAUCGAAAAUGUUAUAAAGAGGGAAAAACUUGAACCACAAUAUAAGAUCUAAGUGCUUACUAAUUAUUUUUUGCAUAACUCAUAUUCAUUUCUUUCAUCCUUUAUUUUUUCAUACCUCCUUGUUAGUGUUUUUUUGUUAGCAUUUUCUUUGCCAGUUAAAAGUUUUUUCCAUGUUUCUAAUACCCCACAUUAUUUCACUGUUCUUUUGUAUUUAAAGCCAGUUUCUUCUUUGCAUAAUCCCUUUUUAAAGUCAGUUUAUCCACAGUCACACUUGUCACAGUUCUCUGUUUUAAAAGUAUUCCAGUCAUUCACCGCUGCAGAUUUAAUAUCAAGCAUUAUCAAUGGCCUUUCCACACUAGAAGACAAAACUAAAAUUGUCCUGACAAAACCAAAGGACAAAUUCCAAUGAGCAGCAUAUGGAAUCCAACUUCAAUUUCCAGGAUUCAUCCUUUGUUGUUUUGAAGUUUAAGCAUCUCCAAGUUUGCAACAAAUUGACAACUAUUGCCUUCCUAUUAAACUGAUUACAGUUCAAUUACACACUUGUCGUGGCUCUUAUGACAAACAAUCAACAAGUUUAUCAUGGUUUUGUUCAUAUAAUGAAUUUUGUCCAGUUUUUAUCCAAGGCAAAUUUUGUCAGCCGUACAUUUGAGGAUUUGUCCACAUUCCCCAAAAUUUGUCAAGUCGUAACAAAACAUCUGCACUUGUAAAAUGUUGGUGCUGACAGAAAAUUUGUCUCAGUAAACAAUUUUUUUUGCCAGUGCAGAAUGGCCCUUAUACUCAUUCUACAUAAUAUAAACUAUGUUUGAUAUUUAUCAGCACAUAAUUUUGUACUUCAAUAAAUGUAAAAAAAAAAUGAACAUUUUGUAUAUUCAACAUUAAUUAAGGAAACUUGUCUUGCUUGUAUAAUCUGCUGUUAAGGGAACCCUUGU
rnacentral:misc_RNA from 1 species